AACGAACGCUGGCGGCAGGCUUAACACAUGCAAGUCGAACGCCCCGCAAGGGGAGUGGCAGACGGGUGAGUAACGCGUGGGAAUCUACCCAGUUCUACGGAACAACAGAGGGAAACUUCUGCUAAUACCGUAUACGCCCCAAGGGGGUAAGAUUUAUCGGAAUUGGAUGAGCCCGCGUAAGAUUAGCUAGUUGGUGAGGUAAUGGCUCACAAAGGCGACGAUCUUUAGCUGGUUGGAGAGGAUGAUCAGCCACACUGGGACUGAGACACGGCCCAGACUCCUACGGGAGGCAGCAGUGGGGAAUAUUGGACAAUGGGCGCAAGCCUGAUCCAGCCAUGCCGCGUGAGUGAUGAAGGCCUUAGGGUUGUAAAGCUCGUUCAGUAGGGAAGAUAAUGACGGUACCUACAGAAGAAGCCCCGGCUAACUUCGUGCCAGCCGCCGCGGUAACAC
rnacentral:rRNA from 1 species